rnacentral:rRNA from 1 species
GAUUAGAUACCCUAGUAUAAAAAUUUAAUAGAAUUAUUAUAUGUAAGGAAAUUUAAAAUUUUUGGCGGUUAAUUAUUAAUUAGAGGAGUUUGUUUUGUAGAAUUUACUCUUUAUAUUUUAUUAAUUAUUGUUUAUUUAUCUCCGUUAUAAGAUGAAAAUUUUAGAAGUUUUUGCUUGUACUUCAGGUCAAGAUGUAGCAAAUAUUAAAUGAAAUUAACUACAUUAAUGUAAUUAUGAAUUUAUUAAUUAAAGAGUAGUAAUGAAAUUGGAUUUAAUUGUAAUUAGAUUCAGAAAAAUUAAAUGAAUAUUUAUAAUUAAUGUACAUAUUGCCCGUCACUUCUUUUGAUAAAAAGAAUAAGUCGUAACAAAGUA